rnacentral:rRNA from 1 species
GAUUGAAGUCAGUCAUGCCGGCGGGAAUCAACUUAGGGGAAACUCUAAGUGCACUUCACGCUUGGCAGGUCAGCGUCGACUUUGGAUGUCAUAAAAUGAUUGGGGGAAGGUAGCCCCUUCGGGAGUGUUAUAGCCCUUGGUAGAUGUGAUGUCUGGGAUCGAGGAUUGCAACGGAUACCCUUCGGGGCUAACCGCCUGAUCUCUAAUUGGUGUUGGGUUAUGGACAGCAU